UGAAGAUUAAGCAUUAAGGGGCCCAGGAGACCGGUUAAUCCAGACUCAAUGCCACCAGAAAACGCGUUUGGAGAAGAGGGAGAGGAAGAAGAGAAAGAAAAAAAAAUCAAUGGCCUUUUGUAAUUCCUGACUUCCUGCCCAGUGACGUUC